GCAUUCUUGGCGCAGUGGAUAGCGCCGACGGCCACCAAUCCAAUGGCGGGGGUUCGACCCCGCGAGCAGACA